GGCGGACGGGUGAAGUAAACAACGUCGGGCAACCUACCUUAUAGUUUGGGAUAACUCCGGGAAACCGGGGCUAAUACCGAAUAAUCUGUUUCCACCUCAUGGUGGAACACUGAAAGACGGUUUCGGCUGUCGCUAUAGGAUGGGCCCGCGGCGCAUUAGCUAGUUGGUGAGGUAACGGCUCACCAAGGCGACGAUGCGUAGCCGACCUGAGAGGGUGAUCGGCCACACUGGGACUGAGACACGGCCCAGACUCCUACGGGAGGCAGCAGUAGGGAAUCUUCCACAAUGGGCGAAAGCCUGAUGGAGCAACGCCGCGUGAGUGAAGAAGGUUUUCGGUCUAAAACUCUGUUGAAGGGAAGAACAAGUACAUAUAACUGGCUGACCUUGACGGACCUUAUUAGAAAGCCACGGCUAA
rnacentral:rRNA from 1 species